ACUAUUCCAAGAAGCACAAGCAUUGACUGAAGUAAGAGUAGCACAGGCUAAAUCUAGGAUGAAAGAUUGGAUCAAGCAAUCAGAGUUAAAACUAGAAUCUCAAUUGCAAAACUUGUCCCAUCAAUUACAAGAAUUCAUUCAGGGAACUUACAAGAGCCGAAGCAAGGAAACAAAGUAAUAACUAUGAAGGCAGCAAUAAUAGAAUUAAUGGAAAAACAGAAGCGAGACCCAGGCAAAGGUAGUGCCAAGGUAUACGAAGUUGGAUUUUCCAACGUUUGAUGGAUACGAAGAUUAGUUGAUUUGGUUACACUGAUGUGAACAAUUUUUUUCAUAGAAACAAAUAAGGUGAACCUCGCACCAUUCCAUAUGACUGCAGAGGUACAACUCUAAUUCUACAGAUUAGAACAAGAAGAACCUUAACUAUUGUGGAACGCAUUCAAAGAAUAUUGCAAUUUAAGAUUUGGGCCUCCACUCAGUAGCAAUCUUUUGGGCGAAGUGGCCAAUCUGAAGCAAACAGGGAUAGAGGAAGAAUACCAACGUCAGUUUUAGAGCCUUCUAGCUCGUGCAACAAUAAUUCAGGUAGAUCAAUAAGUUGAUUUGUUUAUUGCAGGCUUUGAUAGAUUCAAUCUAGAUUGAUGUAGAGAUGCAAAAUCCCCCGAACUUGGUGGCAACUAUGAACCUAGCAAGAGCCUUUGAAAGAAAACAACAGUGGGAAGAAAAUUGGACAAAUUCAUGGCCCUAUACAAGAACAACAUCUACUUCAUCAAUUCUAUCUAUAACCAAGGCUACUGCCAACCAAACUAUUAGCACAUUACAGAAUUCCAUUUUAAAAAGUGUUUCAUCUCUCUUUAUUAAAAGAUUGAGCUGUCCAGAGAUGGCUAAGCGAAGAGCAAAAAGGCUUUGCUAUAAUUGUGACGAACCAUAUUUCUCCGAGUUAGGGGUGGCCACGGUGCAGGAACUGCCAGUUAUGGUUCCUGAACAGCCAGUUCAGGUUCAAUAAAAUCAUAAACUUGAACUAAAUCGCUAGUGGACGGUUUGGAAAACAGUUUCUAAACCGCCAAUUCCAGUUCGAGUCCUGGUUUAAAACGGUUUGAAGGGCAG
rnacentral:misc_RNA from 1 species